rnacentral:rRNA from 1 species
GAUGAACGCUGGCGGCGUGCCUAAUACAUGCAAGUCGAGCGAAGCGGGGACGGGUGAGUAACACGUGGAUAACCUCCUAUAAGACUGGGAUAACUUCGGGAAACCGGUGCUAAAACGGAUACUUAUCGCUGGAUCGGCUAUGUAUUAGCUAGUUGGUAAGGUAACGGCUUACCAAGGCCACGAUGCAUAGCCGACCUGAGAGGGUGAUCGGCCACACUGGAACUGAGACACGGUCCAGACUCCUACGGGAGGCAGCAGUAGGGAAUCUUGCGCAAUGGGCGAAAGCCUGACGGAGCAACGCCGCGUGAGUGAUGAAGGUCUUCGGAUCGUAAAACUCUGUUAGUAGGGAAGCGGUACCUAAUCAGAAAGCCACGGCUAACUACGUGCCAGCAGCCGCGGUAAUUC